rnacentral:rRNA from 1 species
AUUGAACGCUAGCGGGAUGCUUUACACAUGCAAGUCGAACGAGUGGCGGAGGGGAGAGUAAUAUAUCGGAACGUGCGCAGUAGCGGGAGAUAACUACUCGAAAUGGCUCUUAUACCGUAUACUCUUGGAUCGGCCGAUAUCGGAGUAGUGUGUUGGUGGGGUAAAGGCUCACCAAGGCAACGAUCCGUAGCAGGUGUGAGAGGACGACCAGCAACAGUGGGACUGAGACACGGCCCGGACUCCUACGGGAGGCAGCAGUGGGGAAUUUUGGACAAUGGGGGAAAGCCUGAUGCAGCCAUCCCGCGUGUAUGAUGAAGGCCUUCGGGUUGUAAAGUACUUUUGGCGGGGAGGCGGUAUCUGCAGAAUAAGCACCGGCUAACUACGUGCCAGCAGCCGCGGUAAUAC